AUAUCAAGUCAAGAAAUGGAACAAGUUGAUGACAAAGAUGAGGAAACUCAAGGAGAAACUACAAUAGAUGUCCAUGAUGCCAAUGAAGAUCAAAUCAAUGAAGAAAUGCCAAAUUUGGAAGAAUUACAAGUAAAUGAGCCCCAACAUGAAGAUUUACCUAAAGAUUGGAGAUUCCAUAGAAACCAUCCUCAAGAAGACAUUAUUGAUGAUCCAUCUCAGAGGAUGAUGACUAGAGCUCAAUUGAGAAGAUAUUUUGGUAAU
rnacentral:misc_RNA from 1 species